GUGCCAGCAGCCGCGGUAAUACCGGCAGCCCAAGUGAUGGCCGAUCUUAUUGGGCCUAAAGCGUCCGUAGCUGGCCUCGCAAGUCCGUCGGGAAAUCCAGUCGCCCAACGACUGGGCGUCCGGCGGAAACUACAAGGCUUGGGACCGGAAGGCUCGAAGGGUACGUCCGGGGUAGGAGUGAAAUCCCGUAAUCCCGCACGGACCACCGAUGGCGAAAGCACCUCGAGAAGACGGCUCCGACAGUGAGGGACGAAAGCUAGGGUCUCCAACCGGAUUAGAAACCCCGGUAGUCC
rnacentral:rRNA from 1 species